UGCAGUGGUUGGAAUCAGAAUGUUAGGUUACGGUGUAAAAUCUGCUGAAAAAGAAUGUAUUAAAAUCACCAAUUGGGUUUAGUAGGAAAUAAUUGGUGAAUAAUAAACUAAUUAUUUUACUCCUCAGACAUCAGUGUAGAUGAUCUUCAUUACUUCGAUCUCGAAAGAGCGAAAGACAGGUUUAAAAGGAACCAGCACACCAAGCAGCAACACUUCGUCUUAAGCUAAUUAGUACGACAAAUGAUUUAUUUUCCCCACUGUUUUCGCUUCGGAUGUAAUCCAGUAGUACCGGCUUGUUGGCUGACAGUGGCAAGAUGUUUUCAAUUUUCCACUCCACUCCGUAGUGGCACCAUAGUUCCCUGUAGCCGUAGCCAAGCACAACCAGUCAGAGUGGCGGCGUUCAAUCAAACCUGAAGCUAUUCUCUACCAGAAGCGCCCGGCUGGACGGAAGCCCCUCAGGAUCGAAAGCCACAAUACCACCGGGGUAAAACACGCAGAAAAACGAACUUGCUGUUACGACGUCUGCCCUUCAAACGGGGGAAGGAGUGCAUUAAGAACGGCAGCAGUAGCAGCAGCAGCAGCAGCAAAAAACACCCUGCCUGAGUUCAUCGUCUCGGCAGAUCGAUCAGAAGAUAGCGAACAAAAGGGAAUGGAGCGUUUAAGGCAAAAGGAGUGAGUGAACGAAGAACAAAAAAAAAUCACAAACUAUCAGAAUUCCCAGUAGCAAAUUAUCGUAUAAUUGAGCGUGGUAAAGAGUUAUGAAAAAAAGG